rnacentral:rRNA from 1 species
CUUAAAUGAAUUGACGGGGCCCGCACAAGCGGUGGAGCAUGUGGUUUAAUUCGAUGAUACGCGAGGAACCUUACCUGGGCUCAAAUGUAUGUUGACGUAUUCUGAAAGGGAUACUUCUUCGGACAAUAUACAAGGUGCUGCAUGGUUGUCGUCAGCUCGUGCCGUGAGGUGUCGGGUUAAGUCCCAUAACGAGCGCAACCCCUAUCAUUAGUUACCAUCAUUAAGUUGGGGACUCUAGCGAGACUGCCAGUGAUAAACUGGAGGAAGGUGGGGAUGACGUCAAAUCAUCAUGCCCCUUAUGACCUGGGCUACAAACGUGAUACAAUGGCUGGAACAAAGGGAUGCGAAGCAGUGAUGUGGAGCGAAACCCAUAAAAACAGUCUCAGUUCGGAUUGAAGUCUGCAACUCGACUUCAUGAAGUCGGAAUCGCUAGUAAUCGCGGAUCAGAACGCCGCGGUGAAUACGUUCUCGGGGUUU